CCUGUGGUGGGCAGGUAUGUGAGGCCAGAGGACCCCAUCCCAUCUCUUGCUGCAGGUCAGCCGUGGGCUGCCAAGGCCUGGCAGAAGGACAGAACCACUGCCAGGCUGGGACGCUGGGCAGCCUGGGAGAUGGGGGCCGAAGGGGCCCCUCACGUCGCCCUCUCCUCCCUGCCUCCAUGGGCCUCUGGGAAGUCCAUGCCGAGCGUGAUGAGACAGAACAGCAGGCCUGCAGGUACGAGGCUGCAGGGCUUAGACACAGGUGUGCUCAGUAUGUGUGGAUUCCAUUGUGAAUUCACCUACUUGCUGAACUUGAUUUGUCACCCCCAAAUCAAUACUCAGGGGCUCUUCACAGUCAUUCUUAGGCACAUGUGAAGUGGCGAGAAAUCCGAGUCAGACAUGCAUGCGCCCAGCGGGCACUCUGCCUUCAUGCUUCUGCUCAGACUGUGAACCAGGGACCUUUGCAACGUGGAAUGCCGCUUCUUUGCAUUUGUUUCUUGAUGGGCAAUUCUGCUGUUUAAAUCGGCCCCCGAGUGCACAGAGGCGGAGGUGGCUAGCGUUACAAAGAGCAACAAGGCCAUGACGUGGCUUACAGAGAAAACACACAUUAGAUGAACUCCACUCCAGCGUGAGUCACAGCGCCGCUGCCGUGAGUUCAGCGUUAUCGAAUCAGUGAUAAUAUUAACUCAGGAGUCUAAACAGAAACACACGUGACCCGAGGCUACAUAUUGAUCGGUUGGGACCAGAGGCUGGCAGGUACCCGCCCUGCCAUUCCCGCCCUGCCAUUCGCCGGCAGCAGCGUCUCAGUAUUCACAGAGUCAGGGGGUGCGCGAUGCCAGAGAACAAUACUGCGAGUAACGAGAAUCAGCUGUAGAUACAUUAAUAUUUUUUCUCUCCCUUAUGUCUGUGAAAGAUGUACAAUCUCACUUUACAAAAUCUGGCCAUUGUGUAGAGAAAAUCCCCCACCAUCCCACCCCUGAGUGUGCCCAGGCACAGUCACACCCACCCGCUUUCACAGCUCCAGGCCCUGCAUCCUGGUGGACUGCCCGCCUUUACCCCUUCUCCUUGCUUAGCGGUACCUCACGGGGGAAAUGCUCUUUUCCCACGCCACUGCAAACUCUUUCAACACCCGACUUUUUAACCAAAAUAAACUGCAUUCUGUCAUAAUUUUAGAUUGAUGGAAAGGUGGCAUAAAUAAGACAGAGAAUCCCUAUAUGUCCUUCCCUGCCUUCUCCGGAUGCUGACAGCUUGUCGAAAUGAAAGUCCGAACACUGGCGCAUGACUCGGGAUUAAGCCCCAGGCUUCAUGCGGAUGCCCCUAGACUCCCCCCGAGCGUCUGUCUCCUGCUCCGGGGUCCCGUCCAGGUGACUGCGCCGCAUUUGGCAAUGUGGCCAAUUGCAUGCACCGUCAUGUGUGUGAUUAUCAGUAUCAUUAUUAUUUUCAUAUGUUGGGCAGUACCCUAUUGCCCAUUACUGGGUGUUCAGGUUGUUUUGCUUGGCUCCUUUUAAAUAACCGUGCCAGGGAAAGCUCUGGGCGUAUGAAAUGAACAUCCACGCACAUGAAACUGUGUAUUCCUCUCCUUUUGUUCCUGAGGACAAACUCCUGCGUAUCAACCCCGGGUUCAAAGGUGCCGGGAACCCCACCCAAGGGCCAGCUUGGCUCUCAGACAGGCCGCAGGAAGGCCACGCAGAGCUGGGGGGCACUUGGCCAACCGCGCCCUCGCGCACGGGCCCUGGGGACUGGGCUUUCCGUCGCGGACCCCGGCACCUCUGCUUUUCCCUCUUCUCUUGAAGCGUGGGCGCAGCAGGGCGUACAGCCCGUUCACGUGCAGCUCCGUGCUUUUUACACGCGUGCCCAGGCCGCCCUCAAAGACCUAGAAGGCAUCCAGACCCACGGGCUUCCCAGGGCCUCCUCCCAGAGGCAGCUGCUACUCUGGCGUUGUUAUUGUCAGCUUUACAAUGACCAUCAUCAUCCUCACUUUCUCUCUCGAAGACGGCAACGGUACAGGCUCCGACUGCCGGGUGAGAUAUCUAUGCGAGAAGGAAGAAUCCUGGAAGAUUCUACGAGGUUCUAGAAGACAGCCAGCCAGCAUCUGCUCGGAGGUGUCAGGAAGUCAGUCUCUUUGGCCUGGGGCUCAGUGAGCGGAUCCUGAGGGGGUGCAGCCCUGACUCUGGGUGUUUGUCCCGACGCCCACUCGCUCUUUGAACCUCAAUGUCCCGCCUGUGACACGGGGCCCCAGCGCAUCACGCUGCAGGUCACUGGGGACAAGCCCAGUGCCCAGAGCGUCAGUCCACGGCAACGAAGAUCAAAAUAAUGAGGAAUAUAUAAAAUGCUACGUACAACCACAGAGACGUGAGUCUGAAUUGUUACAGGUAGGAGUGGCAGCUGCCGGGGUCAAGGACCGACUGGCCUGGGUCAAGGCGGAAGGCCUUUGGCUCUGGGGCUGAGGCGGGCUGUGGCUGAGGAGGGCUUGGCAUCCUCCGGCCCAUCCCGAUUUAUCCUAGUUUCAUGGAUGUAUGGAUGUUGGAGCCUCCGUGGGGGCCGCAGCUGGGCUGAGGUCCCACGGGGCUGGGGUGGGGGCGUCAUGCUAAGCCAGCGUCUGGAAAGGGCCACAAGUUUGAUCUUCCUUCUCCACAGCACUGCUGAGAAAGACAGGAUUGCUCGCGCAGACCCGGCCAGCCAGGGGCCCCCAAGCGCCAGGGCUCACCUGCCAGAUGGAAGGGAGGAACACCCCAGAACCCCCGGCUCACUGACUCUGCUUCCCUCCACCACCAGGGGCGCGAUCCGAUCACACAUGGCUCCCCUCCAUGCCCAGAAGAGACCCCGUUCCCGCCCACGCCUUCACCUCUGGAUGCCCUGGCCGGGGCCCCUGUUCCCCCGGGGUCUCAGCUCAGCGGUUCAGCUAUCAAGGGCCUGUCCUAGAAGGAUUUAAAAAUAGCUCAUCUACUUUUUUUUUUAAGUUUCAGAAAUGCCUGCAAGUAGCCCAGGGCAGCAAGGAAGCCGCUGGGGGAGUAAAAGAAACCGGAAGCUCUUUCGACUUACCGGCUCUCUGGGGAGAAGGCAGCACUACCAGGCAGCUGCUGAGGAUCGGAGCAGUCCUACCGCCCCUCUGGGCUUUCCUGGACAAAGACAGGAAGAGGCGCGCACUGCACGCACUGGGACAUUGCAGAAGGAGUAAUCGAGGAAGCAAGGGUGGUGUGCGAGAAAGUGGAGCUGUGACACUCAGACAAACAGGGAGGGCCCCAGGAGACGAGGCAGAGCUGGACGUGAAUCAGCCACGAGCCGAGGGGCACCACAAACCAUGGCAGUGCCCAGAACCUGCACGAGGCAUGAAGGACCCUCCCCUGGAGCCUCGCGGGGAAGUGAGGCCCUGCCCACACCCUGAUUUCAGACUUUUGGCCUCCAGACCUUGAGAGAAUAAGUUUGUUUUAAGCCACCAAGUUUGUGGUCAUUUGUUAAGGGCCUCACCAGGAAAAGAAUGGUUGAUAAAAAAAAAAAAAUUUGGCAGGAGCUGUGACAAGUGAGGACCUGGAGAGAGAAGGGUCCCCCCACCCCAGGGCGCACAGACUUGGGGCACUUGAGGAAACACGGAAAAUGUACCUAAAACCCCUGAGCAUUUGCCUGCAGCUCCCAGGCCUCCGAACACCCAAGCAGUCUGGUGGGACGGGCGGCCUGCUGGUCUCCUUCCCUCCGGGACCGAAACCCGAACACAACGAGCUCCUGGGAUUAGGAGCCACUUAGCUCAGGAUUCCCAAACCUCAGAAUCUCCUUGGGGGGCUUCGAAAUACGUGGAUGCUGCACCCCAGCCAGGCCGGAGAACGUGCUGGGGUGGGGCUGGGCGUGGCCCGCUGGAGAGCAGGUGGCUCCACUGGGCAGCCAAGGGCGGGCCCCCCCCAGUACAGGCCCAGCGCCCACAGGAAGGUGGUGCCCAGGGUUCAGUGCCCCUUGUGAGGGGGAUCCAGACAUUUAAUGAUUGUAGGAAACAGGAAUAAAAGAUCAAAUUCCUGCCCUGGGAGCUUUGUGCACAGGAAAGGUGGGGGGAAGGGAGGGAUUCUUCAGAUGCACAAAUAGAUGAUUACAGCAUGUGAUAAAGCGCUAAAUAGUAAACAUAAUUUUUUCCUGUAAAAGGCCAGAUAGCAAAUUGUUUCAGUUUUGUGAACCCACAUGGUCUCCACUGGAACACAACUCAGUUGCCUCCAGAGAGAAGACACAACAGGUGUUCUGCGUGCUAAUGAAACUUCACUUGUAACAACAGGCAGAGGGCCAGGUUUGAUCCCCCGGCUGCAGUUUGCAGAACCUUGAGCUGCAGGGAUGGGCAGGCCCUGGAGUUACAGAAUAGCAGCUCCUCAAAAGGUGAAAGGAGAGUUUCCAUCUGACACGGCAGCUCUAUUCCUAGGAAUCUACUCAGGAGAAAUGAACAUACACGUCUACCUAAAAUGUGUGCAGUGAACAAUAAAAUGUCCAUACCAGCAUCCUCCCUGGCAGGCAAAGGUGGAAACCACGCAAACAUCCAAAUGAAUGGAUAAAUAAAAUGUGGUGUAUAGCCAUGCACGGGAACAUUGCUCGGCUGUGAGGAGGGAGGAAGGCCCUGACACGCGCUACGUGUGGCCGGGCCCUGAACACGCGGGGUCCUCAGUGAGAAACACCAGACACAGAAGGCCACACAGCGUGUGACCCCAUUCCUGUGACACAUCCCCAACAGGCGGAUCCAGACAGAGCGUGGGCUCAUGGGUGCCGGGGCUGGGGGAGGAAGGAAUGGGGUGCAGGGUUAUUUUCAAGGGUGAAAAUAUUCUGAGAUUAGUAGCUGUAAUUGCACAGACUUGUAAAUAUAACAAAACUGCACCCCUCAAAUGAGUGAAUUUUAUGGCAGGUGAAUCAUCUCUCAAUUUUUUU